rnacentral:misc_RNA from 1 species
UCUCCGUUGGUGAACCAGCGGAGGGAUCAUUACAGGAUCGAAAGACUCCUAUAACCCCUGUGAACUAACUACAAAUACGUUGCUUCGGCGGGUGCCCCGGGUCCCCCGGGGCGUUCAGCCCGCCGGCAGCCUUCAAAUUCUGUUUCUUUGCGUUGGCAUCUCGAGUAUACAAAAAUAAGUUAAAACUUUCAACAACGGAUCUCUUGGUUCUG